UACGUAGGGUGCAAGCGUUAAUCGGAAUUACUGGGCGUAAAGCGUGCGCAGGCGGCUUUGCAAGACAGAUGUGAAAUCCCGGGGCUCAACCUGGGAACUGCAUUUGUGACUGCAUGGCUGGAGUGCGGCAGAGGGGGAUGGAAUUCCGCGUGUAGCAGUGAAAUGCGUAGAUAUGCGGAGGAACACCGAUGGCGAAGGCAAUCCCCUGGGCCUGCACUGACGCUCAUGCACGAAAGCGUGGGGAGCAAACAGG
rnacentral:rRNA from 1 species